CAGAUUGUAGCUUAUAUUUAAAGCCUUUUAGUUACAUUAAAAUUAAAAUUUAAAUUCUUUCUGA
rnacentral:tRNA from 1 species